rnacentral:rRNA from 1 species
GACGAACGCUGGCGGCGUGCUUAACACAUGCAAGUCGAACGGAAAGGCCCUGCUUUUGUGGGGUGCUCGAGUGGCGAACGGGUGAGUAACACGUGAGUAACCUGCCCUUGACUUUGGGAUAACUUCAGGAAACUGGGGCUAAUACCGGAUAGGAGCUCCUGCUGCAUGGUGGGGGUUGGAAAGUUUCGGCGGUGGGGGUUGGACUCGAGGCUUAUCAGCUGGUUGGUGGGGUAGGGGCUUCCCAAGCCUUUGACGGGUAGCCCGCCUGGGAGCGUGACCGGCCACAUUGGGGCUGAGAUACGGCCCAGACUCCUACGGGAGGCAGCAGUGGGAAAUAUUGCACAAUGGGCGGAAGCCUGAUGCAGCAACGCCGCGUGCGGGAUGACGGCUUUCGAGUUAUAAACCGCUUUGGCCUGUGACGAAGCGUGAGUGACGGUAAUGGGUAAAGAAGCCCCGGCUAACUACGUG